GCCGAAGUGGUGGAACUGGCAGACACGCACGACUCAAAAUCGUGUGGGCUUCGUCCCAUGAGGGUUCGACUCCCUCCUUCGGCACCA
rnacentral:tRNA from 1 species